rnacentral:rRNA from 1 species
AGAGGUGGCAAGCGUUGUUCGGAAUUACUGGGCUUAAAGGGCGCGUAGGUGGUGAUAUAAGUCCGGGGUGGAAGGCUGAGGCUUAACCUUGGGAUUGCCCUGGAAACUAUAUCACUUGAGUCAGACAGGGGAUGGUGGAAUUCCUGGUGUAGCGGUGAAAUGCGUAGAUAUCAGGAGGAAGGCCGGUGGCGAAGGCGGCCAUCUGGGUCUGAACUGACACUGAGGCGCGAAAGCGUGGGGAGCAAACAGGGAUUAGAUACCCUGGUAGUCCACGCCCUAAACGGUGGGUACUAGGUGUAGGGCUCGUAAGGGUUCUGUGCCGGAGGGAAACCAUUAAGUACCCCGCCUGGGGAGUACGGCCGCAAGGUUG